GACGAACGCUGGCGGCGUGCCUAACACAUGCAAGUCGAACGGAGUAAAACGCUGACUUGAUGGUAGCUUGCUACUGGAUUUUCUUGUUUUACUUAGUGGCGGACGGGUGAGUAACGCGUGAGUAACCUGCCUUACAGAGGGGGGCAACAGUUGGAAACGACUGCUAAUACCGCAUGAUGUAUGACCGAGGCAUCUCGGACAUACCAAAGGAGCAAUCCGCUGUAAGAUGGACUCGCGUCCAAUUAGAUAGUUGGUGGGGUAACGGCCCACCAAGUCGACGAUUGGUAGCCGGACUGAGAGGUUGAACGGCCACAUUGGGACUGAGACACGGCCCAG
rnacentral:rRNA from 1 species